GCCAAACAAAAAUGUUUACCAAAAACAAAAGGACAGCAAGAGGCAAAUUGAUCAAAAUAAGGGCUGUAAAAUCACAAGAGUGAGAUACAAGAUGGAUAUAAACUAGUAGGCUAGUAUUAUAUGACUGUCAUUUAAUCAGUUAUAAACUCAUUACCCAACUUAAGAAUGAAGCCCAUGAAUUAGAGAGAAAAUUCUUGACAACAUAGCAUGAACCAAAGGUUCAAAAAAUAAAAAACAUUAGAAUUCUUAAGCAGUUCAUUAAGAGUCUCGUGUAUCAACUUUGCAUGUGCUCUCCAUUAAAGUUUCAUAUGCAUUGUCAAACUUAAACAUGGAAUAUUCUAAUGAGCACAUGUCAGGAAGUGCA